rnacentral:rRNA from 1 species
GAGUUUGAUCCUGGCUCAGGACGAACGCUGGCGGCGUGCCUAACACAUGCAAGUCGAACGGAGCUAUGCGCUGAACGGAGAGCAGCUUGCUGAAGGAAGUUCUUGUAUAGCUUAGUGGCGGACGGGUGAGUAACGCGUGAGCAACCUGCCUUUCAGAGGGGGAUAACGUUUGGAAACGAACGCUAAUACCGCAUGAGACCACACUUCCACAUGGGAGAGGGGUCAAAGGAGCAAUCCGCUGAAAGAUGGGCUCGCGUCCGAUUAGAUAGUUGGGGGGGUAACGGCCCACCAAGUCGACGAUCGGUAGCCGGACUGAGAGGUUGAACGGCCACAUUGGGACUGAGACACGGCCCAGACUCCUACGGGAGGCAGCAGUGAGGGAUAUUGGUCAAUGGGGGAAACCCUGAACCAGCAACGCCGCGUGAGGGAAGACGGUUUUCGGAUUGUAAACCUCUGUCCUCUGUGAAGAUAAUGACGGUAGCAGAGGAGGAAGCUCCGGCUAACUACGUGCCAGCAGCCGCGGUAAUACGUAGGGAGCGAGCGUUGUCCGGAUUUACUGGGUGUAAAGGGUGCGUAGGCGGGUAAGCAAGUCAGAAGUGAAAUCCAUGGGCUUAACCCAUGAACUGCUUUUG